rnacentral:rRNA from 1 species
CUACGGGCGGCACCAGUCGAGAAUCAUUCGCAAUGCACGAAAGUGUGACGAUGCGACGCCGCGUGGAGGAUGACGCAUUUCGGUGUGUAAACUCCUUUUAUAUGUCAAGAAAAUGACGGUAGCAUAUGAAUAAGCACCGGCUAACUCCGUGCCAGCAGCCGCGGUAAUACGGAGGGUGCAAGCGUUACUCGGAAUCACUGGGCGUAAAGGACGCGUAGGCGGGUUGGAAAGUCAGGUGUGAAAUCCUACAGCUUAACUGUAGAACUGCACUUGAAACUUCUAAUCUAGAGUAUGGGAGGGGGAGAUGGAAUUAGUGGUGUAGGGGUAAAAUCCGUAGAUAUCACUAGGAAUACCUAAAGCGAAGGCGAUCUCCUGGAACAUUACUGACGCUAAGGCGUGAAAGCGUGGGGAGCAAACAGGAUUAGAUACCCCCGUAGUC